CAAUAGCGUAUAUUAAAGUUGUUGCGGUUAAAAAGCUCGUAGUUGGAGUUCUGCCAGGUGCCGCCUGUCCGCCCCAGUGGUGAGUACGUGGCGCGCAUUUGGCCCUUUCAAGGGGAGCGUAUCUGCACUUUAUUGUGUGGUGCGGGAUCCUUGACUUUUACUUUGAGGAAAUAGGAGUGUUCCAAGCAGGCUCUCGUCGUGCACAGCUCAGCAUGGAAUAAUAGCAUUGGACCUCGAUUCUAAGCUGUUGGUUGCCAGAAGCGAGGUAAUGAUGAAGAGGGAUAGUUGGGGGCAUUCGUAUUUAACUGUCAGAGGUGAAAUUCUUGGAUUUGUUUAAGACGGACUACUGCGAAAGCAUCUGCCAUGGAUGUUUUCAUUGA
rnacentral:rRNA from 1 species